rnacentral:lncRNA from 1 species
AAGAAAGCUUUCAGCGUCAUGGAGAAAACCUCACUGUGUAUCUGUAGUGGAUGCAUUUUUUUACAUAAGUUUCGUGUGUACAUUUUUGUUGUGUUCCUAUACUGGGAUUUGAACCCUUGCCUCGGAAUACUAGAAAAACACUCUAGCCUUGAGCUACACACCAUUAGUCUAUUAUUUUUUAGUUUAAAUUUUUUUAUUUUAUGUGUAUGAGUGUUUUGCCUGCAAGCCUGGGUGUGCACACUUGUAUGUGCCUGGUGACUGCUGGAGUUACGGCCAUUUGUAAGCCGCCACGAGGAUGCUUGGGAUUGAGCCCAGCUCCUCCGCAAGAGCAGCGAGUUCUCUUUUAACUACUGAGCCAACUCUCCAGCUGCAUCCUUAGCCUACGUUAUACAGUUUUAAUCAAACGGGAGCAAAUGAGUUCAAGAAGCCUUUGGAUAACAAUAAUAGGAAUUCAAGGACAUCCUCAUAUUAAUGACUUUGAGCCAAGCCCGGGCUAUGAAACCCUGUCCGGAAAAGCAAGACAGGGAAAGGAGAGC